CGCUGGCGGCAGGCCUAACACAUGCAAGUCGAGCGAGACCUUCGGGUCUAGUCGGCGGACGGGUGAGUAACGCGUGGGAACGUGCCCUUCUCUACGGAAUAGUCCCGGGAAACUGGGUUUAAUACCGUAUACGCCCUUCGGGGGAAAGAUUUAUCGGAGAAGGAUCGGCCCGCGUUGGAUUAGGUAGUUGGUGGGGUAAUGGUCUACCAAGCCGACGAUCCAUAGCUGGUUUGAGAGGAUGAUCAGCCACACUGGGACUGAGACACGGCCCAGACUCCUACGGGAGGCAGCAGUGGGGAAUCUUAGACAAUGGGGGAAACCCUGAUCUAGCCAUGCCGCGUGAGUAAUGAAAGCCCUAGGUCGUAAAGCUCUUUCGCCAGGGAUGAUAAUGACAGUACCUGGUAAAGAAACCCCGGCUACUCCGUGCCAGCAGCCGCGGUAAUACGGAGGGGUUAGCGUUGAAGCC
rnacentral:rRNA from 1 species